rnacentral:rRNA from 1 species
GCAGUAAACACUGCUCACUAAACAUCGGUACCUCCUCGAGAGGUAUCGGUGCUGUAGGGAAGCCGAAGAGUGAGCUACCUGGGAAGUAUAGUCGCAAGGCCGAAACUUAAAGGAAUUGGCGGGGAGGUACUACAACGGGUGACGCGUGCGGUUUAAUCAGAGUCUACACCGUGAAUCUCACCAGGAGCGACAGCAGAAUGAAGGUCAGUCUAAAGGGCUUACCUGACGCGCUGAGAGGAGUUGCAUGGCCGACAUAAGCCUGUGCCGUGAGGUGACUUGUUAAAUCAAGUAACAGGCGAGACCCUCGUGUCUAAUUUCUACGUGAAGAGCACAUUAGACAGACUGCCUUGGUAACAAGGAGGAAGGUGAGGGCGAUGUUAGGUGAGUACAGCCCGAAUCCCCUGGGCAACACGCGCGCGGCAAUGUCACAUUCAGUGAGAUGCAACUCCGAAAGGAGAAGCUAAUCUCAUAAAGUGUGGCUUAGUUCAGAUUGAGGUUUGUAACCCAACCUCAUGACGCUGGAAUCCGUAGUAAUCGUUUGUUAUCAGCGAACGGUGAAUACGUCACUGCCUCUUGCACACACUGCCCGUCAAACCAACCGAGUUAUGCUUUGGUGAGGUUCUUUGGAAACGAACCUCGGUAUGACAAGGUAGGUUAAGUCGUCACAAGGUAUCUGUAGGGGAACCUGCAGAUGGAUCACCUCCU